ACAAACAGCACUAAAUACUCGUGGAUAUUGGAGCUUUCUGUGUGUAACGAGUGAGCCCUAGAAUCAAAUCGGCUGUUUUGAAAACCGUCCUGGAGUCUGGUUAAUUGAGAUCAAGACUGAGAAGGGUGAGUACAGCUGGAUAUAAGAGUGAGUCUGGAAAGGGCACAGAUGUUGAUCUAGUCGUGAUUCGAACGCACGUUACAUCCAGAAGGUUCUAGUUCCCGAAAGAUUUCCCAGCAAUGGAUUCGGAAAUCAAUAUAAAAUAUCGGACCCUUUUGGUUCACCACCUUGAGAAGGACGAAAUUGAAUUCGAACUCGAAACUAGAGCAGUGCAAUUCGAGAAGGAGGAAAGUGUAUCGGUACUUAGGAGACGUUUGCGUGAGAAAUUGAAGCGAGAGAAAGGCGAUCCGGAAGAAAUUGAUUUCACAAAGUGUGAAACACGCACAGUAGCUAAUGAAAUCGAAUUGAUAGAUGGAAAGAUAAAAGAAAUUAGUGAUUAUUUGGAGAAGAAGAAAGAGUUCGAGGGAGUUCGGGAGUCACUAGGGACAAGAAUCGAUCCGUAAGGAAGUCAUGCUCCAGAUUACGAACUCGCUUACACAGUUGCAAUUAGGACAACCAGGUCCGUCGAUUGUGCCGCGAGUGUCUCAAGAGACCCAGACGGACGAUACAGAAGCGAAUUCCGGAGAGAAUCAGGAGUCCAGGCAAUCCAAGGUCCAAAGUAGUCACCGCGACGACAACUCCGUUCUAGUUUAAAUCAUUCACAUCCUUCCAUCUUACUAAACGGUCCUCAAAGUUCUGUGGUGCCGUCUGGAUCGGAUAUUCUUCGGCAACCUAAAGAGUACCUGCUGAACAGAGUGGAUCUGGUCCAACAAAGGGCCUUUUUCUUUGUAUUACAUACAGUUAUUCGCCAGGAUCAAAGACGCCAUUGUGUUCCUCGGUGCGAUCAGGAUUGAAUAACCAACAAUAGAACUGGUGUUGUAGAAAGUCUCCGUGGCUAAGCAAUCUGGAAAUAGACUAUACCACAUCCAUCCAAGGGAAACAGUCGCACCUCCACUCUCAGCAGUCGAGAGAGGUGCGUGUUGUCUGUCGGUGCUCUGCAGAUUGAGGAGAGGUUUAUUGCACGGUUGGAAGGAAACUGCAUGAACCAGAAACAGAAUUGAAAUCAUCGUACCACUCGCACCGCAGAUAUCACGUCAUCGCCACCCACCCUGAUCCGUCGCCGUGAGCCACAUAAACCUUAUAAACUUCAUAAAACCGCAAGUAGAACAUGUGACGUCACAUUUAGAUUUAAAAUAAGUAUACAGAAGAACCUUAUAUAGGAUAGUUAAUUUAUUCCAAAAGAUUAUUAUAUUGUUGUUUGUUGUUCCAAGUAAAGAUGCUAAGAAUGAGAAUAGUUUGAAGCCGUUCAUGGUGUUGAAAAAUCACUACAUUUCACUACUUGUUGCGUUUUUCGGACACGAAAGGUGUCUUCAUGCCUCCCUCACUGUGCGGUUCGGCAUAGAACAGUUGACCCUGUGGCCUUUGAGCAUUAGAAACCUUAAUCCGCUCGCAGUUUCAACCUCCUUGUUCGGUUCAGGAUUGUUGCCAGAUCCUAUGUGAAUUACAUCUGACAGAAUAAUAUGGAUAAGUGUGAGUGAUGUACCUUUGUUCUUAUUUACGACCCUGUAGAUCCUAGUUUCCACUGAGCAGUAGGCGAAGGGUUAUACUCCCUCACCCCUCGCCCGAAAAUCAAUAAUUUUGCGAAACAGUGUGAAGGAAAUGAUCAUUUUCGCACACUUCCUAUGAAGUAAUAUCAACCAAACUCUAAUCGAUUACUCACAAGAUAUUAAAUUUUCACCUGCUGUCGCACUGUAUAGUGAAAAACGUCGGAAAACUCGAGCAAGUGCUCUGAAAGUUAAAUUUUCAUUUUUCAAUCUUCGGCAAUGGUUUUGUUUGUAUUGGUGAAAGCAUCGUUAUUUUUUCGACACUGAUGCCAGACAACAUCAUCGAAACAGCUAUCAAAACCACUCAAUAAAAUGUUAUUCCUGAGUUAUAGCGGUUCAUGUUAUGAAAAUCAAUAGGAUAAAAUUGUGUUGAUAUCAAUACAAUCAUUAUUUUUACGUUUAAUGGGUAUAUAAUGUAAGUUUUAGCAACUUUAACAUAGGGUAAGAAAAUUGUAUUGCAGAGCUCGGAACACUGCCACGGCUCCCUAUGCUUUCAAAAACAAUAAACGGAGAAGUAUUACAUUCAAUCUAAAUAUCUCGGCCAACGAAGAGAAGGGUUAAGGGUCUCCAACGUGAAUAUGUGAAAACAAUACGACCAACGAAGGAAAAAAAUUGAGGAAUUAUCAGCAUCGAUACUAUGCGGAAGGACUUGUUAAUAUCAAAAGAGCCCCAAUUCGCAUGUGUUAUAAAUUUGCUCAUGUUACGCUCGCGUAUAAUCAGAAUUUUACUUCAUAUUCAAAUGCACCUUCCAUAUAUAUUUAUGUUUGCAAUCGUUCAUCGGAACAUAUCGUUCAUACAUUUAUCUUCAGUAUUGAAUUGUUAUUUUUUUCAAAUGUAUUCAAAGACUCGUGUCAAUGAAGCGCCACACAGUCUGAUAAGUGAAUUGAUCUAUUUACAUGUGCUUUGCUCUUCUCUCACAAACACUAUUACCCCAUUUUUACACGUGGGUUUACCUAUACUACUACAAUGGCUAGCUUCCACCUUCACCUUAAAAUAAUCUUUAGAAUUUGGUAAAUCUAUGGGAUAUAUUUACGGGGUCCGGAAUGUCGCGGCCAGAUAGGACUUUGUUGUAAAUAAGCAAAACUUAACAUUAUAUUUAAACAAGAUCCCAGCUGAGCGAAGGGGGAAAAUGAGUAAGAGCAAGACAACUACAAGCAUUUCUUUUCAUUGUAUAGAUUAACUUCCAAAAUACUUGAUGUCCUUCGGUUAUUGCUUAUCAUAAAACCAAAAUCAUCUAAAUGGGAAAUAGUCGCUGAGUUAGGACGAAGCGCAGCAUUUAGAUUGCGUCUUGUAAACAAUUUAAUGUGUGCAUCACUGGAUGCAAUUUAUUGCCCUUUCCAUCUUUCUCUGCGCGCGCAAACAUCUACCAACGUUGCAUCUACUAACGAGGGUGAAAUAAAACAUAAUGCAUGAGUGAUGCACGGCCUAUCGCUUAGACGAAGGAUGGAAAGGACCAACUCGAAAAUAAGAUAAGGUCCAUGGUGAUGAUAGGAAGAAUGCCCACAUGGGUGAUCUAAAAAUGAAACCGAUGUGUUAUCGGUUUCAAGAAAGAGA